rnacentral:rRNA from 1 species
AUUGAACGCUGGCGGCAGGCCUAACACAUGCAAGUAGAGAGAGCGGAGGAGGGGUGAGUAAUGUAUGGGGACUGCCCGAUAGCGGGGGAUAAGUACUGGAAACGGUGGCUAAUACCGCAUAACGUUGGAUAACCCAUAGGGGAUUAGCUAGUAGGUAAGGUAAUGGCUUACCUAGGCGACGAUCACUAGCUGGUAUGAGAGGAUGAUCAGCCACACGGGGACUGAGACACGGCCCAGACUCCUACGGAGGCAGCAGUGGGGAAUAUGGCACAAUGGGCGCAAGCCUGAUGCAGCCAUGCCGCGUGUAUGAAGAAGGCCCUAGGGUUGUAAAGUACUUUCAGUCGGGAGGCGUUACCGACAGAAGAAGCACCGGCUAACUCCGUGCCAGCAGCCGCGGUAAUAC